CGGGUUUUCUAUCAUAUCCAUAACACCUGUGCACUUGUUGGAUGUUCUAAAGACGUAGGCUUAAAGCUGAAGUCAAUAGUCAUCCACUUACACUAAACAAUAAUGUAACAAAUGUAGUCUUAUUAUAACAUAAUAAAACUUUCAACAACGGAUCUCUUGGCUCUCGCAUCGAUGAAGAACGCAGCGAAAUGCGAUAAGUAAUGUGAAUUGCAGAAUUCAGUGAAUCAUCGAAUCUUUGAACGCACCUUGCGCUCCUUGGUAUUCCGAGGAGCAUGCCUGUUUGAGUGUCAUGAAAACCCUCAACCUUAGAUUGGUUAUUUGACCUUUCUUUGGCUUGGAUUUGGACGUUUGCCGAUGUCAAGUCGGCUCGUCUUAAAAGUAAUAGCUGGAUCUGUCUCGCGACAUGGUUUGACUUGGCGUAAUAAGUAUUUCGCUAAGGACAUCUUCGGAUGGCCCUGUUGCAGGACUAAAGACCGCUUUCUAAUCCAUUGAUCUUCGGAUUAAUAUUCAUAACAUCUGGCCUCAAAUCAGGUAGGACUACCCGCUGAACUUAA
rnacentral:rRNA from 1 species